GAGGGUAUAGCUCAGUGGUAGCGCACAUGCUUAGCAUGCAUGAGGUCCUGGGUUCAAUCCCCAGCACCUCCA
rfam:Camelus ferus unplaced genomic scaffold scaffold83, whole genome shotgun sequence.